GAAGGGACUGAAGAUGUUUCUCUCUGUCUCUCUGCAUUUUUGUAUAUGUAGCUGGAAGAAACGAAGAACCUCAACAAUUUUUAUUUCUACUUUUGAUCAAGGAAAAGCGUAUUUAGAAGGUUCGCUAGAGAAAAAUUUAGCAGUUUGGAGGAUUGAGAUCCUUUGGCAGAGAUAUGGGAGUGUGAGCAGGAAAUAUUUUUUUAAAGGAAGAGCUGGUGUUUUAGGAUGUCAAAGGUACAAAUUAUGAUGGUGCCAUGGUUGACAGAAAUUUGCAAGAUCUCCGUAUCUACAUGAACUCUUUGCUCCUGACUAUUAGCUGACUGGUCCAGAAAUUCUUGAUCCAAGCUUGAUAUGUAAGCUUCUCUCUCCUGUGAAUAUGGCACUGAGAGACACAAGAUUAGAAGCCCUGGGUGCUGAUCAAACUCAUAGCAAGGAAGAGUGGUGGCUCAAGACUGCCUGCUCCUGAGACUUCUGAGAAGGGUGUCUCUCUGUCUGUGUGGAUGCCUGAUGCUUCUGGUAUUUCACAAAUCUUGAGCCUGGCCAGGAGUUUACUAACAGGCACCCCUGUGUCAUCUGAACAAGAUAAAUAUCCCGCAGUGGAAUCAGCCUUCCCAGGGACCUCCCUGGACUCUGAGAAGUGAUUAAAGGGACUGUGCGGCAGUCAUGGGGAUGCAAGCAGCUGUGGCCAUCAAACUGGUUCUAACAGACAGUAUGAGAUCUUCAUGAUUCUGGACCAUAAGGAUUCCAAAUAGGCUGUUCACUUAUGAGUAGGCCUGUAACACGGACGUGUGAGAAUAAACGCCAGAGAAAAAUUUUUGAGCAGCAGCUUGCUGAUGCAUGUGAUUGCCAGGCAUGGGGCUGGACCCCUGCCCAGGAGUGGCAAGGACAGGUACCCAGGCCACAUAUGACUGUUGUGCAGCUGAUGUACUUGGCUUGCUACCUACCACCGAUAGUGAUCAUUCUAAGAUGCAAAACAAUGAACACACUCAAGCUGAUUUUGGAUUUGACCAUACACAUUUCUCAGAAGAGGGAGCUUUCCUGGAGAAGGUGAAGAAAGAGAAGGAUAUUUGGCAGUGCUGAUUGGAUGGGAGAAGGACGACCUGUGAACUUUUCUUGUUAGGAAAGACUCGGGGACUGAGGUGACUGUCAGUCUCAGAACAGCCAUAUCUGAGACGAGGACCAAGGACCAAAGACCAAGUAGCUCUGUCUGAGACAAGGACAACCUCCAGAACAGAUUUCCACAUUGCUUUCUUUCUGUUUCCAUGACUUAGACAACAAUGGCAUCUGUGUGUACCUUCUUUCUGUGUGGAACUGCCAAUUCUUCUACAUGGAUUAAUCCCAAGGAGUAGUUUCUCUGCACAUUCUCCACCAGACAGUAGCUCUUCAUUAGGAUGCCUUGAUACUCUGAUGUGGUGCCACCACAUCCUCCCAAAGCAAGUCUCUUCCCUCUGGCAGCAGAGAAGCGGAUUUUCUGCUCAACCUGCUUUGAUCACCAAAUGAGUCAGGGAGAAGAACAUGGAUGGAAAUAUCCUCAGUCAAGAACUUCACAAGCACCAGUUGCUUUAACCAGGGGCUCUAGAAAUUUUCUAGAAUAAAUGCUUCUCAAUUUGUAGUCUGCUUUUUGGUCACUUCACAGAUCAUUGGUAUGGUUACUUGUGACAAUUUUGUCCUUUUUUUUUUUCUUUUGAGACAGAGUGUCACUCUGUCACCAGGCUAGAGUGCAGUGGCAUGAUCUUGGCUCACUGCAACCUCCGCCUCGUUGGUUCAAAUGAUUCUCCUACCUCAGCUUCCCGAGUAGUUGGGACUACAGGCAGGCACCACCACACCCAGCUAAUUUUUCUAUGUUUAGUAGAGACGGGGUUUCACCAUGUUGGUCAGGAUGGUCUCGAUCUCUUGACCUCGUGAUCCGCCUGCCUCGGCCUCCCAAAGAAUUUUGUCCUGUUUUAUACUUGCUUUAUGAAGAGAAGAUUUCUCUGACCUCAUGCUACCAUAGUUGGAAGUUUCCCCUAGAUCUGAAGAUAUAUUUUCAAUUUAUAAAUAUGUGCUUUUAAAGAUGUGCCUUCUACUUUCCUUCUUCUCUUUCUGCAUAUGAAUAUUUAUUUAAGAGUAUAAACAUAGUUUUUUAAAGAUCAUCUACGGUUUAUCUACUUUGUGCAUGAUCCACAGUGACUCCGUUCCUGAUAUUAUUGCCUAGUUAGGUCUCUUAACUCAGACAAAAGAAUUCUAACAAAAGUGCAUUACAGUUAAAGACAGGGAGUUUAAUAUGUAUAAAUUUAUGUGUGUCUAUAAUUUAAGAGCAAGUAAAAUUUAUUUGAUUUGUGUUAUCUGUUAUGUCAUAAUUCACCUUUUAACUGUCAGAAAACAGCUUUUUCUGCUUCACUUCUACCUGGAAAAGCGUUCUUGGGAAAGUGCACUUGGUGAGGGUACCUUAGGAAAAUUUGAUACCCAAAUAAAAUGUUUUUUAAGCACUGUACAAA
rnacentral:lncRNA from 1 species